UACGAAGGGGGUUAGCGUUGCUCGGAAUCACUGGGCGUAAAGCGCACGUAGGCGGAUUGCUAAGUCAGGGGUGAAAUCCUGGAGCUCAACUCCAGAACUGCCUUUGAUACUGGCGACCUUGAGUCCGGGAGAGGUGAGUGGAACUGCGAGUGUAGAGGUGAAAUUCGUAGAUAUUCGCAAGAACACCAGUGGCGAAGGCGGCUCACUGGCCCGGUACUGACGCUGAGGUGCGAAAGCGUGGGGAGCAAACAGG
rnacentral:rRNA from 1 species